rnacentral:lncRNA from 1 species
CCGUCUUCACUAUUAUUUUACAUAUUUUGUAGGUGUUAAGGCAAAUUUGUUGUCAAACAACCUCCUCGGGCUAUGAUGUUACUCGGUUUAAUUUUUCAGUCGGCCUAGUCAAAUGACUGAACCGGAAUCCAACACCACAUUCGAGACAAUACGACCCAAAGGUUAAUUGGGCCACUCGAAGCAACCUAAAUACUUUAGUGUUGCUCGUGGCCCAAUCCACUCCCUUGGAUGGCCUUUAAUUGAGAGAAAAGCUUGUGAGACCACUUAACUAUCUUUUGGGCCUUUAACCUAACCCAUUAGUUAACCUACUUAAACUUACCUUAUUUGGGCUAUUGGUAAAAAGGUUAAAUUGGCUUCUUUUCUCUCUAAGUGAGAGAUGUCUGACCCCUCUCUCUCUCGGCCAUUCUGUGAUUUCUCUUCUACUCUUCUGCCUCUUUGUGGAUACCAUCUUAGUGGUGAUGUUAAAUGAGAUUUCUUCUACCUUUGUGAUCUCAAUAGUGGAAUAUCUCAUUGAAAAUCGGAAGUGGAACUUGGUAUUGUCUUAGUUCGUAGUUGUCGGCUUUGUGGUGUUGAAAGUACCCGUAUUAACUUACCUGGGUUUUCUUUGGUGAUCAAUACUAUCACCUUACAUCUGGUAUCAGAGCUUAGGACUUCAAUUUCUGUCAAAAGGGUUCAAAAUCGAGAGAAAUAGGCCCUAAUCUCCAAAUUGAACGAACCCAAUUCUUCCAAUUACUCCCAAACCCGACCUUAUUUGGACAAACGGAGCCCAGAUCGAUAACUAGCAGGUCGAGGCACCCCCUGUGAGAUGGCUCAUGGUGGUGACGACGGCGGCGUGCGGGAGGCCCUGCAACGUAGUUUUUUCUGUCAUUUCGUUUAUUUCAUUUUCCUGAACACUUUGAUGUGUUUGGUUUAGUGUUUCAGGUUGAGUAGGAAAAGUUGGAUGAUUUUGCCCCUAACUUCAAUCUGCAUUUGUUGCUGAUCAGAAUUGUUAUAUUUGCUGAAUCUUUAGGGCGAAUAGUGGUGGCCCUAAAGUAGCAAAUUCACAUCUCUCCACAUUACGAACUCGGAUAGGUCCGCUCUAGUAAAUUGGCUGAAACUUUUACAUUUUUGCACUAGUAGAUCAUCGUGUGGGGUGAUCAUUAGAUUUGGGGGUUGUCAUUGCUUGAAAACCAUUGCUUGUGUUGAAAAUUAGGGUUACGUGCUCUUAAUUGUUUGAUUGAGUAAAUCAGUAUUUAAUUCUUAGUGAUAUAAUUGUCGUGAAACUGAUUAUUGGUUAGACGUAAUUCUCUGUUGCAUUGUUAUUUCUGCUACUUAUUAAUUUCGUUAGAAUUACAAUAACUUUACCCGUUUCGAACAUUCCCUUGAUCUAAGACUGUGAGUCUUACGAAACCCUGGGAAUCUAGAACGGCGUAUAUUGUUUGUGACUCUAGGACUACUUUGUGUUGUUUGAUUGUGUUUUGUGCAUUCUUUAACUGUUGUGUGAAGAUGACAACUCACAACUUUGAUUUGAAGAUUUUUAACGGAAAGGGUGACUUUUCUAUUUGACAACAAAAAAUGAAGGGUAUUUUAGUUCAACAAAAGGUUUCAAAGGCUAUUGAAGGUAAUUUUUCAACUGAUUUUUCAAAAGAACAAAGAGAAGAAGCCGAUGAGCUUGCUUACACCUCAAUCAUUUUAUAUUUGUCUGACGCUGUUUUAAGAAAGGUGGAUAAACUGAAAACCACUAAAGAACUUUGGAAAAAAUUAGAAAACUUAUAUUUGCUUAAGUCUACACCGAAUAUACUCUACUUGCUCGAACAUUUUUUCAAUUUUAAAAUGGAUCCUUCAAAGGAUCUCGAUGAUAAUUUAGAUGUGUUUAACAAGUUGGUACAGGGUAUAGUUAAUUGUGAUGAGGCUGUGUUCGAAACUUAUAAGGCUAUAAUUUUGCUCAAUGUGAUCCCUGAUUCUUAUAAGAAAGUUAAGAACACCAUUAAGUAUAGUAGAGAUACGUUAACACUUGAAAUUGUCAUAGACUCCCUUAGGAACAAAGAAAUGGAAAUUAGGGCUGAAAAACACGAUAAGAGGAGCGGUGAGUUACAUAUGAUGUGGGGUAGAACUUAAUUUAGGCAAAAUAGUGAUGAUGGAUAUCAAAGUGGUGGCGAGUUAAGUGGCAGUGGAUGGAAAAAGAAGGGCAAGGGUAGAUCUAGAUCAAAAUCUAGGACGAAGGCCAGAAAAUGUUAUGGCUGUGGAAACACAGGGCAUUUUAUAAAAAAUUGUCAUAAAGAAAAGGGCAAGUUAAAGAUUAAGGAAAGAGAUGAGGUAAAUGUGUUAUCCUCUACAUUUGAGAUAGAUAACGAUGAGGUCUAUAUGCUUACAAGUUCAGUUGCAUACGCUGUUGAAUUGAAUCUAACUGCUAAUUCCCGUAUGCAUGAGUGGAUACUUGAUUCUGGUGCAUUGUUCCACGUGACGUCUGAAAAGAAUUGGUUUUAUAAUUUGUAUGAAUCUAACGUUGGGCAUGUUGUGCUGUGUGAUAACUUUGCCUAUACUAUUGCUGGAAUUGGUAACAUAAACGUAAAAUUUGACACGGAUUUUGUGUACGCGUUAAAAGAUGUUAGAUAUAUUCCUAAAUUGUCUAGGAAUUUGAUUUCCGUAGGGAGACUUGAAAAGGAUGACUUCACUAGUAAAAUUGGAAAUAGUAUGCUAAAAAUGAUUAAGGGUGCUUUAGUUUCCAUUAAGGGAACUAAGAAAAACGACAUUAAUAUUACUACUGGGAAAGUGAUUAGAGGUUUGAACUCCUCUAACUCUUCUGUCAAGAUUGAUCACACACACACACAUGAAAUAAUAGACUUACACACGUAGGCAUUAAGGGAUUUAAGUUACUUAAUGAAAAAGGUGCAUUUAGUGACUGUUUGUCAGAUUUGUCAUUUUGUGAUCACUGUGUGCUUAGUAAGCAUCAUAAACUUUGUUCUCCACGAGUGUUCAUAAAGCUAAAGGCAUGCUUGAAUAUGUGUAUUCUGAUCUGUGGGAUACUGCUAGUAAUCCCACAUUGGGUGGAAAUAGGUAUUUCCUGUCUAUUAUCGAUGACUAUAUUAGGAAAGUGUGGGUCUAUAUGUUGAAAGAUAAAUCCGAGACUUUUCAUAAUUUUAAUAACUGGAAGAGACAAGUGGAAAACCAAACUAGUAAGAAAAUCAAAAUUUUAAGGAUAGAUAACGGCCUAGAAUUCUGCAAUACGGAAUUUGAUAGUAUGUGUAAAGAAAAUGACAUAACUAGACACAAGACUAUUCCUUACACUCCCCAGCAAAACGGGGUAGUGAAAAGGAUGAAUAGGAUUAUACUUGAUAAAGUACGUUGCAUGAUGUUAAGUUCUAGUGUCCCUAAGUUGUUUUGGGGUGAGGCUGUUAUGAUUGCCUAUUAUUUGAUUAAUUUGACUCCAGCUGCAUUAAAUGGUGACACUCAGUAUAAGAGAUGGUCGGGUAAAUUGAGUGAUUACUCUAUGCUUAGAACUUUUGGCUGUACUGCUUUUUCUCAUCAGAAUGAGGGAAUGCUGGAAUCUAGAGCUAGGAAGUGUGUCUUUCUAGAAUACCCCGAGGGUAUUAAGGGUUAUAGGUUAUGGGAUAGAAGCCAAAAAGGGGUUAGGAUUAUCAUAAGUAGAGAUGUCACGUUUAACGAGAAUGAGAUGCCGUGUAUUAAAGGGGAAACCGAAUCUGAGAGUGAAACUGAACUAGGUGAAGAGAGAGACUAAUUUAAGGUGGAGUUAGGAAAACUUAGUACAUCUACCCCUACUGCUUCUAAUGGGGUGGAGAUUCAAGUUCAGGAACCUGAAGUGGAAAAUAGUAACGAAGUAGUGAUAGAAGAACACCCUAAGGAAGAAAAUUCAUUAGCUAAUUAUAAUCUAGCUAGAGAUAGAGAGAGGAGACAGACGAGAGAACCUAGAAGGUUCGGUUUUGAAUCUGAAAUAACUUUUGUCCAUGCUAGUUAUGAAAAACUAGCUGAUAAAGAGCCAAAAACCUUUGAAGAAAUGAUAGGUAGUGAUCAAUCUAAGGAGUGGUUUAAGGCGAUGAAAGAAGAGAUGAGUUCUCUAGAAAAGAAUCAGACUUGGGAACUGGUACCUAGACCUAAAAACAAAUCGAUCGUCGAUUGCAAAUGAGUUUUUAAGAUUAAGGAAGGUACUAGUAGUUCGGAACCCUUAAAGUUUAAAGUUAGGUUAGUAGCUAAGGGUUACACAUAAAAGGAUGGCGUUGAUUAUAAUGAGAUUUUUUCACGAGUUAUUAAGUAUACCACUAUUAGGGCCAUGUUUGCUUUGGUUGCGCAUUUUAACUAGGAACUUGAACAACUUGAUGUAAAAAUUGCUUUUUUACAGGUGAGUUUGAUGAACAAAUAUUCAUGAAUCAACCAAAAGGUUUUAAGGAUAAAUCAAAACUUGAUUACGCGUGUUUUCUGAAAAGGUCCCCAUAUGGCUUAAAACAAUUACCUAGAUAGUAGUACAAGAUGUUUGAUUCCUUUGUACUCACCAUAGGGUUCUAAAGAAAUAAAUUUGAUCAUUGCCUAUAUUUUCAACAUAACGAGACUGAUAAUAAUUAUCUAUUUUUGUUGCUCUAUGUGGACGACAUGUUUUUGAUUGGUUAUUCUUCUAAGUGGAUAAACAGCAUAAAAGCAAAACUAAGUGGUGAAUUUGACAUGAAAGACCUAGGUAAGGCUAAGAGAAUUCUAGGUAUGGAAAUAAAAAGAGAUAGGUCAAUACUAAGGUACUUGAAAGGUACGGGUGACGUAGGUUUAAAGUUCAGUGUUAAUAAGAAAGGUGUGAAAUUGAAGGAUUUUGUAGAUGCUGAUUAUGCGGGAGAUAGGGAUGGUAGGAAAUCGACUUCCUCUUACAUGUUUACCUUAUCAAAUUCAUGUGUUAGUUGAAAAUCACAGUUACUACACAUUGUUGCACUAUCUACCACUGAAUCUGAGUAUAUUGCUACUAGUGAAGCAAUUAAAGAGGCCUUAUGGUUUAGAGGUUUACUUCAUGAACUAUGUGUCUUGAAUGAGUGUGGUUGUGUAUUUUGAUAGUCAGUCAUCCAUACAUUUAUGUAAGAACCCUGUUUUUCACGAACGCACUAAACACAUUGAUGUUAGACUACACUUUAUUAGAGAUAUAGUAUCUCAAGAGGUGGUGAAACUUGAAAAAGUUCACACACAAUACAAUCCUUUAGAUAUGAGCACGAAGGUGCUGCCACUGGUAAAAUUUAGAAGUUGCAAGGAUCUUCUAAACAUUGGUACAUGUAAAUGAUUUCCAAUUUUAUCGAUUUUCUAUUAGAGGUGUUACUAAUGGAAGGCGUUUUCUUUUUGCAGGUCCUUUGACACCAAGGUGGAGGUUGUUAGACAAAUUUGUUGUCAAACGACCUCCCUCGGGCUAUGAUGUUACUCGGUUUAAUUUUUCAGUCGGUUUAGCCAAAUGACUGAACGGGAAUCCAAUACCACAUUCAAGACGAUACAACCCAAAGGUUAAUUGGGCCACUCGAAGCAACCUAAAUACUUUAGUGUGCUCGUGGCCCAAUCCACUCCCUUGGAUGGCCUUUAAUUGAGAGAAAAGCUUGUGAGCCCACUUAACUAUCUUUUGGGCCUUUGACCUAACCCAUUAGUUAACCUACUUAAACUUACCUUAUUUGGGCUAUUGGUAAAAAGGUUAAAUGGGCUUCUUUUCUCUCUAAGUGAGAGAUGUCUCACCCCUCGCUCUCUCUUGGCCGGUUUUCUAUGAUUUCUCUUCUACUCUUCUGCCUCUUUGUGUAUACCAUCUUAAUGGUGAUAUUAAAUGAGAUUUCUUCUACCUUUGUGGUCUCAAUAGUGGAAUAUCUCAUUGGCAAUCGGAAGUGGAGCUUUGUAUUGUCUUGGUUCGUAGUUGUCGGCUUUGUGGUGUUGGAAGUGGGUAUAAACUGAGCCUGGGUUAUCUUUGAUGAUCAAUACCAUCACCUUACAGUAGGUUAUUCCAUUGCCACCAGA